GGCACUUGGAUAUCCAUGAAACAAAGACGAGAGGAGUUCAAGGUGAUGUCACUCAUCAAGGAACUGCAGGGCACGUGUCAGGAGCUCCAUGUGGUUCCUGAGGUGAACUUUGUGUCAUGGUUCACCAAUCUGAAACGCCUCAGUGAAACUGAAAGCUCCAAGCUGUCUAUGGAGCUGGAGCCUCCCCUCAGGGCAGGCUUCCUGACCAGGAACCCCAAGUGGAGCCCUCUC